CAGUCGCCGCGGUAAUACGGAGGGUGCAAGCGUUAAUCGGAAUUACUGGGCGUAAAGCGCACGCAGGCGGUCUGUCAAGUCAGAUGUGAAAUCCCCGGGCUUAGCCUGGGAACUGCAUUUGAAACUGGCAGGCUAGAGUCUUGUAGAGGGGGGUAGAAUUCCAGGUGUAGCGGUGAAAUGCGUAGAGAUCUGGAGGAAUACCGGUGGCGAAGGCGGCCCCCUGGACAAAGACUGACGCUCAGGUGCGAAAGCGUGGGGAGCAAACAGGAUUAGAUACCCGAGUAGUCCCUGUCUCUUAUAC
rnacentral:rRNA from 1 species